CACUGAAGAAAGGAGUGUGAGUGACUGCGAAUGACUGCUUUACCCUUGCAGUGGUGGUCCCAAGGAGAGAUCCCAUAGCUCAGGUAAGAAGGAGUUAAUUCCAGUCCGCAAUGAUUAACACUGCCCCAGCAGUGAGAGUAGGUGUUAUCUCCCAAGGUCCUGAGGAAGAAGAGAUAGUCCAGACCAUCCUAAUUAACACUGUUCCAGCAGUGAGAGGAGGCUUUGUUUCCCAGGGUCCUGGCACCCAAGCAGGCCUUAUUUCACAGCUUUGACAUCCUCCCGAUGCCCAAGCAGGCCUUAUCUCAAAUUCUUGACAUCCUCCCUUUCAGAGAGUGAAGCACAGGAAUGCAGACUGCUUGUAACUGGCACCAGAUUGGGGGGGGGGGGGGGGGGGGGGGGAGCUGGGACCAUCCCCCCACAGUAUAUAUAGCUUUGCUCUGUGCAUUAACAGUGGUCUGCAAAACUGAAAACAAGUGAAUACUUCUGAUAGUUAUUUUGCUUCUACACAGAGUGUGCAAGUAUCUUCCACCUAUGAUAUUGGAAUGUGGAAGAAGAAUGACCACGGAGACAGUGAAAAAGAAAUUCUACUGGGGACGCUGAGUUCUGACUCUGCACUGUUGGAAGAAAAUCAUUUCUCAAAAAUGGAUGUACCAGUCAUGCCAGUGUUAAUGGGAAUGGAGGAGCUCGUGAGAACUUCGAUUAGUCUGCACAGAUGGGAAACAGCGCAGAGGAGCGUGAAGCUUGCGUUGGAGGGAGCUCUGAGAUCAUCAAGAUGAGGAGAAUAUUGCUCACUUGCUAGAGUGACAACAGUGCACAGCAGCAAUACUGUGCAUGCCUGGGACUGAUAACACUGACGUGAUGGUCAGUGAAGGACAUAUACAAUAACAGACCUAUUUCUAGAAGGGAAGCGAAGACAACUCCUCUGCUAUUUCUGUGCAGGCUGGAGAAGCUGGACCACCAGCAGGCAGCACAGAGAGUGAUACAUCUUUAGCUGCCUUCUUAGUCCAAAGCAUCUUUUGUAAUGAGGUGGCUGAUGGAGCUUGAUAUUUUUAAUCUUUACAGGGCUAUGUCUCACAAGAAAGGUAUGUUUCUUUAUUUACUUAGUGAGAGGAAAUAUUGUAGACAACUGUGUCUGCUUACUUUUUCUGACUGGCUAGCUAAAACCUAACUCCAUCUUACUUAAUUCCAAAAACCGUACCCAUUUCUUCCUAAAAUGUGGUUGGGAAUCAUUAGAAGGUUCUUACACAUGCAGAUGGGAGUUACGGAUGUAAAGAUAGAACUAUUCCAAGGACAGGGGAAAUGCAACCCAAAACGAGUUUUAAACAGUGUAAAGUCCAAAUAGUAAUUAUCAUACAGAGUGGCAUGCUUCAUUUACCACACCCUCUUCAUCUUUUCUCUGCAGACAGGUGUGUUAAUUUCUGCGUAGAGUUAGCCUUGAAAUUUUGCUAAAUAAGUGUUUCACAGGUUUUAAUGCAUUUAUAUUCACAGCAUGCACAUAAGAGAAGGUGCAUUUAUUCCUCUAUUACCAAUGGGAAACACAAAUUCUAAACAAUAAUUUUUAAAUUUCUAGAAUCUAUCUGUACCAUUAUGUUGUAAUUAAUAUGUUCAAAAUUCUGCUCUCUUCAAAUUCGUUAUGGCUGGCAGUACUUAACAUUUUGCAAAUAAAAUUAUCUGGCAUCGAACCUAAGAAGUCA
rnacentral:lncRNA from 1 species